AAUGAACGCUGGCGGUAGGCCUAACACAUGCAAGUCGAACGGCAGCACAGUAAGAGCUUGCUCUUACGGGUGGCGAGUGGCGGACGGGUGAGGAAUACAUCGGAAUCUACUUUUUCGUGGGGGAUAACGUAGGGAAACUUACGCUAAUACCGCAUACGACCUACGGGUGAAAGCAGUGGAUCUUCAGACCUUGCGCGAUUGAAUGAGCCGAUGUCGGAUUAGCUAGUUGGCGGGGUAAAGGCCCACCAAGGCGACGAUCCGUAGCUGGUCUGAGAGGAUGAUCGGCCACACUGGAACUGAGACACGGUCCAGACUCCUACGGGAGGCAGCAGUGGGGAAUAUUGGACAAUGGGCGCAAGCCUGAUCCAGCCAUACCGCGUGGGUGAAGAAGGCCUUCGGGUUGUAAAGCCCUUUUGUUGGGAAAGAAAAGCAGCAGGUUAAUACCCCGCUGUUCUGACGGUACCCAAAGAAUAAGCACCGGCUAACUUCGUG
rnacentral:rRNA from 1 species